AUACUUGUAUCACUAGCACAUAUGCUAAAAUUGGAAUGAUACAGGUAAAAUUAACAUGGCCCUGGUGCAAGCAAGGCAGGUAAAUUUGUGAAACAUACCAUAUUUAA
rnacentral:snRNA from 1 species